UCUUCGAUGGUCUAGUGGUCAUGAUUUCCGCUUGUCAGAUUCCUCUUGGAAUUAACAAGCGCGGGAGACCGGGGUUCGAUUCCCCGUCGGAGAG
rnacentral:tRNA from 1 species